rnacentral:rRNA from 1 species
UCGACCCCAGGUCAGGCGGGGCUACCCGCUGAAUU